rnacentral:lncRNA from 1 species
GGAAUUACCUGCAGGUAGGACAGGGACAGAAGAGCCCAGACCCUGGGGGAGAGGUGCCCCAAACCUACCCUGGACUAGCAUGUAGUGGCAAAAUAAACCAUUGUUGCGUUAAGCCUUUACAGUAGCCGAUGUUCCUUUAUUUAAUUUCCCUGACACCCCGCCCCCCUGCAAGGUGUCCUUUUGGUAUUGCCUCUGAAAUCUAUUUGGAAUAUCCUCAGUGUUACCAAACCAUUAUUCCUUGAAUAUGAAUAGAUUCAUUGAUGUAAGUCAGUUCAACAAAUAUGUGUUGAGCACCUAGUAUGCUCAGGAUAGAAUGACCAGGCCUGGGACAGAUAGCAAGCUAAGUGAUACCCUAGGGCACACAGGAACACCUCUGCAGCCACCUAUGCCUCUGAAGCCGAGUGGAAGGCAUGGCUGGGAAGACACCAAGAAGACUUGAGUCUUAAGUCAUAAAGUUGUUUCCUUGGAAACCACCGUACUGAAAUGAAAGUACCUGCUAUCCUGGUGACUGGAACCACAUGUAAAAUCCAUGGCCAAACCAUGUCAAUGAGCCUUAUUUUCUGCCUGAGGAGUCCCACUCCCUAGCUGUGGAUGGGGGGGUGGGGGGGUGAUGAGACCACCUGAGAGGUGGUGUGGUCUGCAAGGAGACACGAUGGGCUUGAGACUUCCUGUCUCAGGAGGUGAUCUUCAGGUUGAGUUGUUCAGUUGUUGAGUGUCUCUUGAUAAGCAAGUGCCCCAGACCAACCCUGGACCCUUGUGUGCCUCCAUUUCCCAGGAAAGACCCAAAGAAGAGGAAAAACCCCUUUCUUUUGCAUCCCCAGGUCGCAUAAGGAUAAGGAAGGAUUGCCUGGUGAGGGCCUUGUGCUCAGAAGUUUUGUUGUGAUAAAUAAAUCAUGCUGAGUAUUGACACCAUUAUUGAUGAUGGCUGGGCUCCCAUAGCACUCACCUAAUUGCUUUUCUAAAAUUCCUCCCCAAAAGGGCAUAUUUGGUAAAAAGCAAAAAGAUAAAGCUAAUGGAGAAAUGGAGGAAUAUGAAGACCGCCCCAUUGGGAUAAAUCCAGGAGUUUACACCAGUAAUCUGAUAGUAAGGGCCCAAAUACCUGAUUGAUUUUAGAUCCUGUUCCAGACACUGCCCACGGCAGCCCCUGCAGCCCUGACAGCUGGACUCAUCAAUGCAGCUAAACAAAUACACUGCCUGGUACGGUAUGAUCUAUAAUCUCGCUUUAUAUCUCUUAUUUCCAUUCUGGACACUACGCACAAAUUCCAUUACCUUACGCUCUCCUCAGAGAUAGACUGAGUUUGUCUGGGGUCCAGUUUCAUCAUUCCUAUAUAAUAUACAAGAAAGGAUCAGAUGGACUUUACAAUACGUUCCAGCCCAAGUGUUCUUCAUAAAGCCAAUCAUAAAGCUCAUGGCUUUCAUGCCUUAUCACCUUCCAUCCUCACAACUACCCUCGAUCACAAGCACUCUUUUCAUUCCCGUCUUACAGAUGGGGGAUCUAUGGUGCGGAAAGGUGAAGUCAAAUCCUGUGUCUUUCUGAUUCCAGGGUUCGAAUUCUUAGCUAUCAUGCUGAAUAUUGCCUGUGAUAGUUCAUUUUAUGUGUCCACGUGACUGGGUCACAAGACGGCCAGACUCUGGUUAAGUGUUGCCUGGGCUGUCCCUGUGAAGGUUUUUCCAGAAGACAUUAGCAUCUGAAUCCAUAGCCUCAUGGAAGCAGAUUGCCCUCCCCAGUGUGGGUGGGCCUCAUCCAUCUGCUGGAUUAGAUAGAACAAAUAGAUCAACUGUUGUCCCAAAUAGAACAAAAAGGUGGAGGAACAGGGAGCUCUCCAUCUCUCCCUGUCUGACUCUUAAGCUUGAUCUUCUCCUGUCUUGGGACUUGGACCAGAACUGACACCACUGGUUUCUCUCAUUGUCAGGCCUCUGGACUCACACUGGAGUUGCACUCUCAACUCUCCUGGGUCUCUGCUCUUGCACAUGGACUGUGAAACUUCUCAGCCCCCAUAAUCACAUGAACCGAUUCUUCAUAAUAAAUCUCUAAUUAGAUACACAUACAGAUGUAAAUUGAUCCUGUUGGUUCUGUGUCUCUGGAGAACCCUGACUAAUACACUGCCUCUCAAGCAAAACUCAUCCUUUGUGGUUCUUUUUUCUAAGAUGAGGAUGUCUUAAUAAAUGGAUAAAAGCUUUUUAAAAAGAGAGAGAGAAUUGGGAAAAGAAAUUCCCUAGGCUGAGGAUGAUGAAAUGAGGGGCACCUGGGUGGCUCAGUUGGUUAGGCAUCUGCCUUUGGCUCAGGUCAUCAUCCUGGGGUCCUGGGUUCGAGCCCUGUGUCAGUCUCCAUGCUCAGCUGAGCGUCAGCUUCUCCAGAGCUCUGCCCCUUCCCAUCACUUGUACUCUCUCUUUUUUCUUUCUCAAAUAAAUAAAUAGAAGCUUUAAAAAAAAGGCGGGGAGGGUGAUGAAAUUAGAAGUUGGAUUGACAGUAGUGUCACCACUGACCUAGUCAACAUCAGCUGCUACGAUGUUAAACAGCUUCAACAUAAGUUCAUAACUUUUAGCAGUGAAAUUCUGAGUUAAGAUGGCUUUACAGAAUUUCUCUUCCCAAUUCUCUCUCUCUUUUUAAAAAGAUUUUAUCCAUUUAUUUGAGAGAGAGAAUGAGCAUGAGAGAGAGCACAGGAACGGGGACCAAGGGAGAGGGCCAAGCAGACUCCCCCAUGAGCAGGGACCCUGAGUCAGGGCUCAAUCUCAGGACCCUGGGAUCAUGACCUGAGCCAAAGGCAGAUGCUUAGGUGAUUGAGCCACCCAGGACCCCUCUCUUCCCAAUUUUCCCAAUUCUCAACACAAGCAAGGGAAAAAAAUUAAACUGGCAAAAAAAAAAAAAAAAAAAGGAAUAUUCCAAAUAGCAACCAAGGAGGAAAUGAGUAUAACUCAAAAAAAAAAAAAAAAAAAA